rnacentral:rRNA from 1 species
ACUCAAAUGAAUUGACGGGGGCCCGCACAAGCAGUGGAGCAUGUGGUUUAAUUCGAAGCAACGCGAAGAACCUUACCAAGACUUGACAUCCCGCUGACCGCUCUAGAGAUAGAGUUUCCCUUCGGGGCAGCGGUGACAGGUGGUGCAUGGUUGUCGUCAGCUCGUGUCGUGAGAUGUUGGGUUAAGUCCCGCAACGAGCGCAACCCCUAUGUUGUGUUGCCAUCAUUUAGUUGGGCACUUACAACAGACUGCCGGUGACAAACCGGAGGAAGGCGGGGAUGACGUCAAAUCAUCAUGCCCCUUAUGUCUUGGGCUACACACGUGCUACAAUGGGCGGUACAAAGAGACGCGAGACCGCGAGGUGGAGCCAAUCUCAUAAAGCCGUUCGUAGUUCGGAUUGCAGGCUGCAACUCGCCUGCAUGAAGCCGGAAUUGCUAGUAAUCGCGGAUCAGCAUGCCGCGGUGAAUUCGUUCCCGGGCCUUGUACACACCGCCCGU